rnacentral:tRNA from 1 species
GGGGCUGUAGUUCAGUGGCAGAACACUUGCCUAGUAUGCAUGAGGCACAGGGUUCGAUUCUCGGCACCA